rnacentral:rRNA from 1 species
ACUAUCGUUAACUGAAUACAUAGGUUAACGAGGCGAACCGGGGGAACUGAAACAUCUAAGUACCCCGAGGAAAAGAAAUCAACCGAGAUUCCCCCAGUAGCGGCGAGCGAACGGGGAGCAGCCCAGAGUCUGAAUCAGCUUGUGUGUUAGUGGAACGGUCUGGAAAGUCCGACGGUACAGGGUGAUAGUCCCGUACACCAAAAUGCACAGGCUGUGAACUCGAAGAGUAGGGCGGGACACGUGGUAUCCUGUCUGAAUAUGGGGGGACCAUCCUCCAAGGCUAAAUACUCCUGACUGACCGAUAGUGAACCAGUACCGUGAGGGAAAGGCGAAAAGAACCCCGGCGAGGGGAGUGAAAAAGAACCUGAAACCGUGUACGUACAAGCAGUGGGAGCACCUUCGGGUGUGACUGCGUACCUUUUGUAUAAUGGGUCAGCGACUUAUAUUCUGUAGCAAGGUUAACCGUAUAGGGGAGCCGCAGGGAAACCGAGUCUUAACUGGGCGUUAAGUUGCAGGGUAUAGACCCGAAACCCGGUGAUCUAGCCAUGGGCAGGUUGAAGGUUGGGUAACACUAACUGGAGGACCGAACCGACUAAUGUUGAAAAAUUAGCGGAUGACUUGUGGCUGGGGGUGAAAGGCCAAUCAAACCGGGAGAUAGCUGGUUCUCCCCGAAAGCUAUUUAGGUAGCGCCUCGUGAACUCAUCUUCGGGGGUAGAGCACUGUUUCGGCUAGGGGGUCAUCCCGACUUACCAACCCGAUGCAAACUACGAAUACCGAAGAAUGUUAUCACGGGAGACACACGGCGGGUGCUAACGUCCGUCGUGAAGAGGGAAACAACCCAGACCGCCAGCUAAGGUCCCAAAGUCAUGGUUAAGUGGGAAACGAUGUGGGAAGGCACAGACAGCCAGGAUGUUGGCUUAGAAGCAGCCAUCAUUUAAAGAAAGCGUAAUAGCUCACUGGUCGAGUCGGCCUGCGCGGAAGAUGUAACGGGGCUAAACCAUGCACCGAAGCUGCGGCAGCGACACUAUGUGUUGUUGGGUAGGGGAGCGUUCUGUAAGCCUGCGAAGGUGACCUGUGAGGGUUGCUGGAGGUAUCAGAAGUGCGAAUGCUGACAUAAGUAACGAUAAAGCGGGUGAAAAGCCCGCUCGCCGGAAGACCAAGGGUUCCUGUCCAACGUUAAUCGGGGCAGGGUGAGUCGACCCCUAAGGCGAGGCCGAAAGGCGUAGUCGAUGGGAAACAGGUUAAUAUUCCUGUACUUGGUGUUACUGCGAAGGGGGGACGGAGAAGGCUAUGUUAGCCGGGCGACGGUUGUCCCGGUUUAAGCAUGUAGGCUGGUUAUCCAGGCAAAUCCGGAUAAUCAAGGCUGAGGUGUGAUGACGAGGCACUACGGUGCUGAAGUAACAAAUGCCCUGCUUCCAGGAAAAGCCUCUAAGCAUCAGGUAACAUCAAAUCGUACCCCAAACCGACACAGGUGGUCAGGUAGAGAAUACCAAGGCGCUUGAGAGAACUCGGGUGAAGGAACUAGGCAAAAUGGUGCCGUAACUUCGGGAGAAGGCACGCUGGUGUGUAGGUGAAGUCCCUGCGGAUGGAGCUGAGACCAGUCGAAGAUACCAGCUGGCUGCAACUGUUUAUUAAAAACACAGCACUGUGCAAACACGAAAGUGGACGUAUACGGUGUGACGCCUGCCCGGUGCCGGAAGGUUAAUUGAUGGGGUUAUCCGUAAGGAGAAGCUCUUGAUCGAAGCCCCGGUAAACGGCGGCCGUAACUAUAACGGUCCUAAGGUAGCGAAAUUCCUUGUCGGGUAAGUUCCGACCUGCACGAAUGGCGUAAUGAUGGCCAGGCUGUCUCCACCCGAGACUCAGUGAAAUUGAACUCGCUGUGAAGAUGCAGUGUACCCGCGGCAAGACGGAAAGACCCCGUGAACCUUUACUAUAGCUUGACACUGAACAUUGAGCCUUGAUGUGUAGGAUAGGUGGGAGGCUUUGAAGCGUGGACGCCAGUCUGCGUGGAGCCAACCUUGAAAUACCACCCUUUAAUGUUUGAUGUUCUAACGUUGGCCCCUUACCGGGGUUGCGGACAGUGUCUGGUGGGUAGUUUGACUGGGGCGGUCUCCUCCCAAAGCGUAACGGAGGAGCACGAAGGUUAGCUAAUCCUGGUCGGACAUCAGGAGGUUAGUGCAAUGGCAUAAGCUAGCUUGACUGCGAGCGUGACGGCGCGAGCAGGUGCGAAAGCAGGUCAUAGUGAUCCGGUGGUUCUGAAUGGAAGGGCCAUCGCUCAACGGAUAAAAGGUACUCCGGGGAUAACAGGCUGAUACCGCCCAAGAGUUCAUAUCGACGGCGGUGUUUGGCACCUCGAUGUCGGCUCAUCACAUCCUGGGGCUGAAGUAGGUCCCAAGGGUAUGGCUGUUCGCCAUUUAAAGUGGUACGCGAGCUGGGUUUAGAACGUCGUGAGACAGUUCGGUCCCUAUCUGCCGUGGGCGCUGGAGAAUUGAGGGGGGCUGCUCCUAGUACGAGAGGACCGGAGUGGACGCAUCACUGGUGUUCGGGUUGUCAUGCCAAUGGCACUGCCCGGUAGCUAAAUGCGGAAGAGAUAAGUGCUGAAAGCAUCUAAGCACGAAACUUGCCCCGAGAUGAGUUCU